GCUGGGCACGGUGGAGCGUGCCUAUAAUCCCAGCAGCUCAGGAGGCUGAGGCAAGAGAAUCACAAGUUUGAGGCCAGCCUCAGCACCUUAGCGAUGCCCUAAGCAACUUAGCAAGACCCUGACUCAA
rnacentral:sRNA from 1 species